AGAGGAGGAAAAACAGAGCAAAAACUACAACACGGCUGGAGAGAGAGAGAGAGAGAGAGAGAGAGAGAGAGAGAGCGAAAGACCUUCAGAGUUACCUCCUUCGCAGCCCAGUUCGUCUUAGCUUCUCCCUCCGCUCGACAAAGACCCUCAAACGAAGCAAACAGAGCCGUCUCCCCUCUCCCUCCGGCCGGAGCUCUCUCACCUCUCCCUCCCACCGCCCAAUUUCAGCUUUUAUUUUGGUGCCACUAUAUCUAUGAAGGUUUCAAUUGUUGCCAAGACUCAGUAAUGCUUCAAGAGAGAAAACACAGGUACCCAAAUGAAAACAAUGUUGGGGUUGAGUAAGGGGAGUCAAGAUUCACUGAGGGAGGCGAUGUGGGUUGGACAUGACACUUUUCCUUAUUAGAAGUAUCCAUGGUUUUGGAGAAUUUGUUGACGUAGAAGAUUUUGUGGAAGAGAUCGAGAAGCUGUGCUAGGCGUGGACUAAUGUCGGAUUUUUCAUCUCAUUAUUGAAAAUUUAUUUUUUAAGAGCAACAUUGUCUAUAAUAUAUAAAUUCUGAUGCACUAUUAUUUACUUUUGGAUGUGUAACCUUAUCAAAACCCUAUGUUUCUUUGUUAUUAUAUCUUCGAUUUUUGGGGCUUCACAUC